ACCUACGGGGGGCAGCAGUGGGGGAUAUUGCACAAUGGGGGGAACCCUGAUGCAGCGACGCCGCGUGGGUGAAGAAGCGCCUCGGCGCGUAAAGCCCUGUCAGCAGGGAAGAAAAUGACGGUACCUGAAGAAGAAGCCCCGGCUAACUACGUGCCAGCAGCCGCGGUAAUACGUAGGGGGCAAGCGUUAUCCGGAUUUACUGGGUGUAAAGGGGGCGCAGACGGCGAUGCAAGCCAGGAGUGAAAGCCCGGGGCCCAGCCCCGGGACUGCUCUUGGAACUGCGGGGCUAGAGUGCAGGAGGGGCA
rnacentral:rRNA from 1 species